AUUCCAGCUCCAAUAGCGUAUAUUAAAGUUGUUGCAGUUAAAAAGCUCGUAGUUGAACCUUGGACAAAGUGCGCGUGGUCUACCGCAAGGUACGACUGCGGCGCUGCGUCUCUUUAGGGGGACUCGAUGCUUCGGUGUCGAGGUAACCCGUGUUACUGUGAAGAAAUUAGAGUGUUUAAAGCAGGCUAUCGCUUGAAUACAUCAGCAUGGAAUAACAUGUUGGACUUUGCUCCUACUUGUUGGUUUGAGGGGAAAAGUAAUGAUUAAUAGGGCCAGUUGGGGGCAUUAGUAUUCAGUAGUCAGAGGUGAAAUUCUUGGAUUUACUGAAGACUAACUAGUGCGAAAGCAUUUGCCAAGGAUGUUUUCAUUA
rnacentral:rRNA from 1 species